rnacentral:rRNA from 1 species
AUCUAGAGAAGCGUCUUCCGCGCCGGACCGUGUACAAGUCUCCUGGAAGGGAGCAUCGUAGAGGGUGACAAUCCCGUCUCUGACACGGACCGCCGGCGCUAUGUGAUGCGCUCUCGACGAGUCGAGUUGUUUGGGAAUGCAGCUCAAAUAGGGUGGUAAACUCCAUCUAAAGCUAAAUACGGGCGAGAGACCGAUAGCGAACAAGUACCGUGAGGGAAAGAUGAAAAGAACUUUGGAAAGAGAGUUAAACAGUACGUGAAAUUGCUGGAAGGGAAACGCUUGACGUCAGUCGCGUCGUCCGGGGAUCAACCUUGCCCUCUGGCUGGGCGUAUUUCCCGGUCGACGGGUCAGCAUCGAUUUCGACCGUCGUAGAAGGACUGGAGCGAAUGUGGCACUCCACGGAGUGUGUUAUAGCCUCCCGUAUGGAUGCGACGGUCGGGAUCGAGGAACUCGGCACGGCCCCUCGAGGGUUCGGGGCUUCGGUCCACGCAGCGUGCCCAGGAUGCUGGCAUAAUGGCUUUAAGCGACCCGUCUUGAAACACGGACCAAGGAGUCUAACGUGCCUGCGAGUGUUUGGGUGCAAAACCCGAGCGCGAAACGAAAGUGAAAGUCGAGACCUCCGUCGCGGAGGGCACCGACGCCCGGACCGGAGCCUUUGGCGAUGGAUCUGCGGUAGAGCAUGUAUGUUGGGACCCGAAAGAUGGUGAACUAUGCCUGAAUAGGGCGAAGCCAGA